rfam:Klebsiella pneumoniae IS43, WGS project CBWK01000000 data, contig: c25
CCUGGCGGCACUAGCGCGGUGGUCCCACCUGACCCCAUGCCGAACUCAGAAGUGAAACGCCGUAGCGCCGAUGGUAGUGUGGGGUCUCCCCAUGUGAGAGUAGGGAACUGCCAGGC